rfam:Capsicum annuum cultivar Zunla-1 chromosome 9, whole genome shotgun sequence
ACGAAGUGAUGAUAGAAUUCAUAAGUCUGUCAAUCCACUGAAAUACAUUUUAUGAUGUAAAGAGUGAAUCCCGACAGGUUCUGAUCGU